UACGGAGGUGCAACGUUGCUCGGAAUCAUUGGGCGUAAAGCGCACGUAGGCGGUCUGCUAUGUCGGGUGUGAAAUCCCUCGGACUUAACCGAGGAAGUGCAUUCGAACUGGCAGACUUGAAUACUCAAGAGGGUCUCGGAAUUCCGGUGUAGAGGUGAAAUUCGUAGAUAUCUGGAGACACCGGUGGCGAAGGCGGCAUCCUGACCACACUGACGCUGAGGAGCGAAAGCC
rnacentral:rRNA from 1 species